UAAUAGAAGAGCAGAGGACAUAGCCUGCUA
rnacentral:piRNA from 1 species